rnacentral:lncRNA from 1 species
CAAAAAUGGCCUUUGCACCCCAUUGUUCUUAUUUCUACAUUUCAGGAUUUGGGUGGUUCUGAUGUUGCAAUCUCCGAUUUAGACUUCUUUGGUUUCUAGUAGCUACCUGAUUCUACCUGGUUAAGCUACAUGGGAAUUUAUUAGCAGGAUCUUGGGUACCGCACAGAAUGAAGGAGACUUUGAAUACUCAACCAUGUAAAGGAGGGCAUCAGGGAAGUCUCGGGGAUGUAGAUAAUAGAAACUAGUGGCCACUCUCUUCAGGAUUCUGCUAGUGGAAUGCAUGUGUUGCAAAUAGUUUCAGUUCUUUCGGCUUUUCAGGGAAGGAGAGUUGGGUUGGCUUCUCUUAGGUCGGGAAUGGGUUGAAUAGUAUCCCCUCAAAAUUCAUGUCUACCUGGAACCUGAGAUUGUGCGACCUUAUUUGGAAUCAGUGUCUUUGCAGAUGUAAAUAAGGCAUUAGCCAUUAUUCCAUUUUGACCUGUGACAGCUGCAUCACAGGGUGUAACGGGAAAUUACCUAGGGGACACCUGAAGCUAAGUUCCAACCGCCAAGGCAGCAGCGGCAGCCUCUGACCUCAGCUGCUGUGGUCCACCUGGGUAACAAGGCACUGCACAUCAGCAGAAGGAGGAACGGGACCAGCCCAGA